rnacentral:lncRNA from 1 species
GGCAUCCACAGCCUCUGGGCAAAUCUAGUGAUUCUACUCUCUUUCUGUAAGAGUCUCUAUUUUCAAAAGUGAAAUUCAUCCUUCACUGUAAAAGAACUGCAGAACUUCUGUUAUUAAUCUCUUUGGUGAUGACUCAAGAAUUUAUAUAACUUGCUAAGACAAGCUGUGAAGAGAGUCAUCAAUUCACGCUGUCAUUGCUAUUAAUUCCUGAAUUGUGUGAUCAAUCAUGUGAAGAACUGACAAUUGUCCUAUCCCUGCACAGCGUAUUUCUGUUUGCCUCAACACUCAGAUCACUGAAUCCCAAAUGUAUGCAGGUGCCACACGGUGGUGCUCCUGACUCCACGUUGCUCAAAGGUCUGCACUGGCUGGAGGGAGUUAAAGCAGCAAGCCUACCAGAACUGGCUUUGGAAGAAGGGCAAAGAAAGUAAACCAUCCAGUGGAAUGAGGAAUGUACUUUUCUUGCCCAAUUGCUCUACUAAGUCAGAUAUGAAAAGAAUCACAGAAUCACCUUAAGAGAUCAUUGAGUCCAAACUCCCCUGAUAAAGUAGGUACCAAAAAAAUUAUAUAAUGGUAGCUUAUAAAAAUCACAAGUUUUUAUUCUUGUGCCUAUUGUUCCUUUCCCUUUUCUCUAUUUUUUUCUGUCAGUAGAAGAUUCAUCAAGGUUCAUAUUUCAGCAUCCUCCCAGAAACAGGGACAGAUACUUUUCUCUGGGUCAGUCAUGACUGUGAAAAGAAGCAAAGCAGAUGGAGAGGAGAUGCAUCUUUUCCAUGUAAGGAGGGGACCACACAUAAUUAAGAACAGCCAUGGUGGACCCAGGCAGGAGCCCUAUUCUUGGGGGUAGCCAACAGUUUGGCCUAAUGUCAGUUGAAAUAUUCCUUUUUCUUGUGAGUAAAACUUCAUGUUCAUCUAUAUCAAGGCUAUAGUUCAUUGAAAUCAGCAAGAAUGAUUUAAUUGAUUUUUGUGUCUAAUCCUGUAAACUGUAGCAUUCUGAUAGUCAAUGUUUAGCCUUAUUCAUUUAGGAGUUCUGUUCACCUCUCACUGAGAAUUUCUGAAAACCUUACUGAAAAAAUGGAUUGGGCAUUUAGCUAUUAAUGAGAAUCUUGCUUUUAAAUUGUGAGAAGAUAUCUUUUUAAUUAAUCCUCACAGAAAACAAUUGAAUGCUUGACCUACAAGGAUAAUUACUUGUGUUCUGCUUUGAUUAUUUUGUAGAAGUUUUAUUGAAUUUAUACAGCGUACUGCAUAAUAUAUGAUCUAAAAGUGGAGCUCUAUACGACAGUAUAAAGUGGAGAUUUAUACUACAGUAUAAACUUUCUAGAGAACUGACAACCAUGUUGUCUAUAUAAACCAUCAUUCUGUAAUUAGUCUUAGUAUAAUUUUUGUAGGGAUUAUCUUUGCUGUCAUUCUGUGUUGUCUUUUGUAUAUUUUUUC